rnacentral:rRNA from 1 species
AUUUUUUGUUUUCUUCGGAAAACAAGCUCAACGAGAGCCAUCGGGGGUAGAUCUAUCUCAUGACGAGUGGUGGAAUACGGUGACUCAUGAGAGAGACACGGAGGCGAAGGCGUCUACCUAGAGGGUUUCUGUCGAUCAAGGGCGAGAGUAGGAGUAUCCAACAGGAUUAGAGACCCUGGUAGUUCCUACUAUAAACGAUGCCGACAGGAGUUUGUCAUUUAAUAAUGGCAGAAUCUUUGGAGAAAUCAUAGUUCUUGGGCUCUGGGGGAACUACGACCGCAAGGCUGAAACUUGAAGGAAUUGACGGAAGGGCACACCAGGGGUGGAGCCUGUGGCUUAAUUUGAAUCAACACGGGGAAACUUACCAGGACCAGAUGUUUUUUAUGACUGACAGGCUUUGGGUCUUUCAGGAUAUGAUUUUUGGUGGUGCAUGGCCGUUGGUGGUGCGUGGGUUGACCUGUCUAGCGUUGAUUCAGCUAACGAGCGAGAUUAUCGCCAAUUAUAUACUACGCCUAGGUUUCUAGGUUGCAGUUCUAAUUGGGACUCCCUGCGAUUUUAGCAGGCGGAAGAGGGUAGCAAUAACAGGUCCGUGAUGUCCUUUANAUGCUCUGGGCUGCACGCGUGCUACAAUGUUAGGAUCAAUAGGAAAUAUUUUAUAUACUCUGCAAACCUGAAAGGGCGAGCUACUCCUAUAAUCCCUAACGUAGUUGGGAUUGACGUUUGUAAUCNGCGUCAUGAACCAGGAAUCCCUUGUAAAUGUGUGUCAACAUCGCACGUUGAAUACGUCCCUGC